AGCGAUGUUACUUUCCCAGAAAUCUGUGGAAACUCUAUGAGAUUAACACAAUAGGAGAAAUCAAUAGUUACUGGACAAACAAAAUGAAGAUUGCUAGGAAAAGACCUAAGACUUUUGCAGCCCAUAAAAUCCAACCUACUGAGAUACUUGAAAUUCUGGAUAUAUGAGGGAACACAAGCCAAGUUUGUAUAAUCCAAAAGAUAUGUUUCAACAUUUGGGGUUUCUAAUGGGCCUGGCAUCUUAAUGAAAUGUCGAGAAUGGCUGAGGUUAAUAGAUUUUAACUUGAAAGCUUCCUGCAAUAACAGAUAUAUAAAGACUAUAUUAAUUAAAAAGCAACAUUGAAUUCAACAAUUAAUUGCACGUAUAUUUAAAGAAAGAAAAAAUUAAUGUUUUAGUUUUAGUACAGAACUUACCUUUUCUCCUUCCCAAAGUUGCUCAACUUUACUAAAACGCAAAUUCAGUUCAACAAGGUUCUUUGGCUUGAAAUUUGAUGGCAGUGUCCUUAAGGGAUAUGUGUCCCAAUGAAGAUAUCUCAAUUUUUUAGGAAGAUAAUCUAGGCCAUUUGGAAGCUGCACUUUAGAGUAUGAAAGUUGCUCUUCAAUGCUCAUACUUAGAAACUUUUCAAUCUCAGGUACAUAAAAUUUGAGCAAUCUUAGAUUAGACAUUUUUGUGAAGGCUCCAGGGUCUAAAUUGAUGCCUUUUAUUUUGGACAAAUCCAGAAAUAUGCCUUCAAUUGCAUCGGUCCCCUUAUUAAAAAAAAAAACAAAGAAUGAGUAACCCUAAAACAGAAAAGAAACAUUCGCAAACUUUAUUAACUAAGAACUCCUUAAACAAAAACAAAUUCUGCAAUCUUUGAUUUUAUUUUUUAAAAAUAUUAAAUAUCUAUAUAUGAGAAAAGAAAAUUUUGGGGACCAUUGCAAAAUUAAACUAACCAAAAAAAAAAUUCAAAAUUUCUCUAAUUUACAAACCUGUUAUCUUAAUAUCUAGAAGUUGAGAAGACAAGGCGUAUUUGAUUGGUAUAAGAUUUCGAUUUUUUUUUUAGUCCAUAGAAUCCAAAAUGUUUGUUCAAAAUCAGGGAAAAAAACGAAAGUUAUUUUUUUUUCCACUAGCUGUAAUUGUAUCCAAGUCAAAUUGAGAUACGACCCUUUUCGAAAGGAUUUAAUCAUCUUAUAGCCUCCUUAAGAUACAUUUAAGCUAAAAGGAGUGAUUGGAGGCAGAACUUAGUGGGCCAAUCAGUUCAUUUUAUUAGCGACUGUUGCUUAAAAAAAAUUAUACUCUAAAACACACUUACUUUUUUGAAAAAAAAUAUAAUUAUAUUUAAGUAGAACCAGGUGGGCCAAUCCUCAUGGCACUCACUUUGUUCUGACACUCUUCACUAAAUUUGAAGAAAAAUAAAAUUAUACUCUUCACACUCUUAUUCAACAUUCCAAAAUUGAUAAAAUCUGGAGUUUUCUUUAAAAUUUUAAAAUUUGAAGACUUGUUCUCUUGACACCCUCAGUCAUUAAUUUUACCUAAUUAUGGUUUUGGUUGUUUUGUUCAUAAAAAUGCUUUUACUAAAGGAUGUUCUGGUAAUGAAAAAAUUUAUAAAAAAACAAACAUGGGUGUGCUGAUAUAGUUGGAAAAAUAUGAGUGCAUAACUCCAAACAAAUAAAAGAUACAUAAAAAAAAAAAAGGAGGAUUCUUACCAUAUUAUGCUUUAGUACGCGGCGGAUUUCCUUAGGAUCCCACAACCUACUGCGUCUGCCUGGCUCUUCCUCAGAUUCUUGGCGAACAAUCUCUCGGCCCAUUUCUUGCAAUAAAUCAUGCAUUUGCAAGCAGUUAUCUGACACUGUUAUAAGUGACUUGUCCACGAGGACAUCCAGUCUGUGAGACCCAGAAUCAUCAAGUAUCCUUAACACAAAAUCUUUAUCCUCUCCCUCAAGGAAACACGCAAUAUCUAGAAACAUACUCUUCACCCUGGGCGUUAAUUCUUUAAAACUAAUCUUUAAUGUAUCAUAAAUACCAUGAAUAUCAGAUUCACAAAUCCGAUUUAAGUCGUCCAAUACAUUUUCCCAAUGGCUUUUCCCCUUGAGAUACAGGGAGGAACCCAACACUUUAAGAACUAAUGGAUUGCCAUCGGCAUACCAUACAACCCUCCAUGAGUGCCGGUAGAGAUCUUCAGGACAAUGAUUUUCUUUAACAGCGAAGUUACAAAAAUGCUCGAAAGCCUCAUCAAAUUUCAAUCCAUUGACCCUAUAUAUUUUCUCCACUCCAAAUUUUUCGAGGACUCGUUUAUCCCUGGUGGUUACAACAAUUCUACUUCCUGGACCAUAUUGAUCAAGCCCUCCAAUCAAACCCUCUAAUUGUUCAUCUUUAUUCACAUCAUCGAGUACAAUCAACACCUUCAUGCGUCGGACCCUCCCUUUAGUAAAUUGUGGAAUAUUGGGACCAGCUACUUCAAGUUUUUCACUUAAUAUUGUCGAAAGCAUUUCCUUUUGUAGGUCUUCUAGGCCACCCUCUGUUUCUGAUUUUCUCCUAACAUUUUUUGCAAAGUAUUUACCAUCAAACUCACCAGAGAAUUGAUCGAAAAUAGCUUCAGCAAGGGUAGUUUUGCCUAUACCACCCGUGCCCCAAAUUCCAACAAUAUGGACAGUAUCCCACAAAUCCAUACACAGAAAUGGUUUAAUCUGCUCAAUUCGUGAAUUUAAUCCAACUAGGCCAUUGGAUGAGUCCGUUGAGACUGUUAUUUUUUCCAACUUCUUCAAAACAUCAUCGACAAUUUUGUUUACAAGUUCCGCAUCGUGCCUAAUAUAAAGGUGCAAAGAUGCAAAAACAUUGAGUCAAAUCGGGCCAAGACAGAAACAGAGAAAAGAUGAAUUAGGAAAGAGAGUUACCUGAAUUUCGUGGAUUCAUGGCCGGCUAGAUGGGAUGUUUCUGUCAGUGCAUCCCUCCACUUCUGAACCAUUUCUGGUUUAUCUUCGAACUGUUUUUUGAGCUCAUCAAAACGGUCUCCAAAUGUUCCGUUUUGAUGCCGCACAUCAGAUGGACUUACUCCAUAGAAGACUGGAAUAAUAAUUUGGCCGUUUGUGUUCUUGCAUUCAAGAAUCUUGACAAGUUCAUUCAGGCACCAUUUUGAAGAAGCGUAGUCCUUUGAGAAAAUGACCACCGAAAUUUUUGAACCUUGGAUUGCGUUCAAAAGGGCGGGUGAAAUCUCAUCUCCUCGCCUAAGCUCUUCAUCAUCAAUAAAUGUUUUGAUUUUUUUUCCUUCAUACAAUUUAUCAUAAAGAUAGCAAGUAAAGCUCUUACGAGUGUCCUCCCCUCUAAAGUUGAGGAAGACUUCAUAAUUGCAAGAAGAAGAAGAGGAAGCCAUGAAGGAAAUUCUAGAAAUUUGAAAGUAGAUUUAGGGAAUUAUAAAAAGCUGAAGGAAAUUGGAAUUUUGUACAGUUUCUCCAGCGAGGAACUUUCACCUCCGCACUAGAUUCUUAAGUUUUGAAAAUUAUGAGACCUUUAUAUUGGAAGAUAUUAUAAUCGAAUCAAAACUUAAAAUUUUAAUAUUGUUAAUCUUUAAUCUUUAAAAAAAAAUUACCUCGCCGUUACAGUUUGGAUUAAGAUUUGAGCAAGCAUUUACCUAAAUUUUAUCUCCGCCUGUAAAUUCUUAUGUUUUAAAAAUUAUGAGACCUUUAUAUUGGGAGAUAUUAUAAUCGAAUCAAAAUUUUGAAUUUCAAUAUUAUUAUUCUUUUAAAAAAAAAAUUGAGAUAACAGAGUGAUUGAUAAUAUAGGAGAACUUGUCUAGGCAAGCACAUGCAUACACAGAAAUGUGAUGGAUUCAAAAAGAAAUUAAAGUGAUAAUGUACGUGGAUCCUUAAAAUAAAAAGCGAAAUCGCUUGGUGGCCCAGUAAAAUUAGAGAACAAAGAAGAAUUAGUUAUUGAUAUACAAAAGAGAAACACUCCAAAAUUUCAAGCAAAAAUAGUUUCAUAUACCAUUUCAAUUUUGUAAGGGGUGAGGUUUUGAAUUUCAAUAGUUUCCUCUAAAAUCAAAAGGCAACAAUUAAGUUAGAAAGAGCAAAGAAGACUUAUUAGUACCUUAUUAAAGGUAACAUUAUGGAACUUUCAAUUUCAUUACCUCACUCUUCAAUUUUUAUUGAGAUUUGUGCAAGAAUUUACCUAAAUAUUACCUAAAAUUGAGAUAUCAGAGUAAUAUCAAAUAGAAAAACUUGCCACGGUAAGCCAAAAGUCUAGUCAACCACAUGCAUAAAGCUAAAUAGAACAACUAACAAGAGAACAGAGAAACGCGUGGGUCCCUAAAAGAAAAGGCAAGCACAUAGAUGAAAAAGCCAUUACAUUUCGAUUUUACAUGUCAUUAAUUUCUGUAACACGGUGUGUGGCAGCAUAUGCACAAUCAAGUGAGGCAAAAGGGAUUCGAUUAUCGUGGCAGAACAUGAACGAGGACGCGUGAUGAAUAAUUCCUUCGAUAAAACGAAAAACAAACGCAGAGAAAAGAAUUUCUUAUAUGACAAGAAAUCAAAGAAAUCAAAGUAAUGUUUCAUUUUCCCUUCCCUACCUUUUUUUUGUUUUAUUUUUAUAGCAAAGAAUUAUAUCAUGAAAAGAAUCAAUUUAAUCACCUUUUCUAGCAGCACAAUUUUUCUUUUAUAAAAUUUGACCAGGGAGACAAAGAAUAAUUAUUCAUACCUUCAUCACUAAGGAAAUACUUUUCGGUAUGGCUAAGGUGAGAAAAGGCUUUCCACAAAAACUUGUACUUUGUAUUCCUGUAAAUUUUCUUUAAAGUCAAUAAAAACCAUAAGUUCUUUACAAUAACCAUCUCUUUGAUAAAAAAGUGCCGUAUUCCUUUAGAAUUUAAAACCGGCAAAACUGAAUCAGUGUCUUUGAAGAGACAUAAUGGUCGUAAUUCUUUAAAUGAGUUGGCUAUGGAAAUCGUUAUCCAAGAUUCUUUUACGCCAUAUUCUUUCGUAAACCAAAAUUCAUUUUGGAAUACUCUGUUGAGAAUGUCAAAUAAAACGGCAUUGAAGGAAGUUUUCAAAGGCAGAAUCUGCACUUGUCAGAUGGAUGAUCUGCACUUGUCAAAGACACAAUCCGCGUCGAACGAAUCGACACAUUUCCUUUCGUAUUCACAUAUGCAAUUUUUGAAAAAAUGUAGCUUUUACAUCUAUAAAUAACACUCAGUGUAUAAUGUUUUAUUCAAGAAAAGAAAACAAGUUUCUUCAUGGUAUCAGAGCCAUGAAUACGCUCAAGUUUCUUCAAGUUUCGCUGCUCUGUUUGUAACAAAAACAGAGAAAACCAAAAUCUUCCCACAACCAUUUUUUCCACCAUUUUCUUCCUUAAAAUCAUUCCUACCAUUAUAGAAAUCCAUGCCGAUCAAAAAACAAGCCACCCAUACGUAAAAAACUUGAGUUUACAAAUUUAUCAACAAUCUCAUAAAUUAGAUACAAAACAACGUGAUGUUAAAUCUCCAGAACUGCAGCAGUCUUAAAACGACAUGUCGUUUCUAUUCCAUCAGAACCGACAUAUCAUUUCUUUAAGCAGAGGCCAAACGACUUGUCGUUUUUUUUUUUAUCUAAAAAAGUUAUUUUUUCUUAUUUCAAUCUAGACGCCAAAAAAAAAACAAAAAAAUGGAGAAAACUCCAACUGAAUCUGAUCCUGUUGUCAUUCAAUCUGUUCAAUCUGAUGAGUAUUUAAUGUUGGAAUUAUCUUCACUGAGACAAACUACGAUAUUUGGUCUUAAAUAAUGGAGUUGCAUCUCGCAGAAAGAGAAAAACUCUCAUAUAUUUGUAGCAACACAAAGUCAUCUGAGGAAUCUUCAAAGGAAUAUGAGAAAUGGUAUAGUGAGAAUGAAAAGGUAAAAAAAUGGUUACUCAUAUCCAUGUCUCUGGAUAUCAUGAAGUGAUAUUUACGAAUUCCUACAGCCUACGAAAUAUGGGAUGCAUUAUCAAAAGCCUUCUAUGAUGGAAUCGAUGAAUUACAAGUUUUCACUCUAAACCAGAAGGCGUCUCUACCAAGAAAAAUUGACAGCCACUAUCUAAAUUCUACGGAGAAUUGAUCGAAAUAUUUUGAGAACUUGAUCACCGAGAUAAAGUGAUCAUGAAGGAUCCAGAAGAUGUUGUAAUAUACAAAAGGUCUGUUGAAAGAUUGAGAGUUCACAUUUUUCUUGUUGGGCUAGAUGAAGAAUUUAACCAAGUUCGUGGAGAAAUUCUAUGAAAAGAUAUUAUCCCAGACUUAGAAGAAUGUUAUUCUUUGAUCUGAAGAGAAGAUGUACGGCAAAACAAACUAAACAAGAAGGUCGACUCAGAAACGUUUGCUAUGAUAGCACGACAACAGCCUCAAAGGAAGCUUGUUGACAAGUCAUCACUCCAUUGCACUCAUUGUAGGAAGAAGGGUCAUAUGAAAGCACAAUAUUUUGAAAUCAUUUGAUAUCCUGACUGGUGGGAUACUUGAAAGAAAAACAUCAAGCAGGGAUAAAAAACUGCAGUAGCUGAAUCCACAUCCACUACAGAUCUUAGAAAAGAAUCUUCAGUGCAAAUCGCAACCUCUGUUAGUCCAGGUAAGGCCCUUAAAACUCUUAUACUUGUUAUUAAUAGUACAUGGAUAAUUGAUUCUGGGGCAACUGAUCAUAUGACUUUUGAUUCUCGACAAGUUUCUCAAUUGAUACCAUCUUCACAAAAACAUGUUUCCACUCCAAAUGGAACCACAACCUUAGUUAUUGGGGAAGGAUCUUUACGACUCACAUAUAAAUUAAAUUUAGACUCUGUGUUAAUUGUUCCAUCUUUAGAUUAUAAUCUUUUAUCUGUGUCUCAAUUAACCACUUACUUAUCAUGUGUUGUAAUUUUUUGGCCUGAUCAUUGUGUGUUUAAAGACAUCCAAACGAAGCAAACGAUUGGUUAUGGUAUUAGACGGGGCCACUUGUACUAUUUGGAGAUGACAUCAACAAACACUGGAAAGCUAAGCCCUGCACUAGUCGCAGAUAGUUCCAUAAAAAAAAGGAAAUCAGAAAUUUGGUUAUGGCAUAGACGUUUAGGGCAUGUGUCAUUUGGUUACUUAAAAAAAUUAUUUCCUAGUUUAUUUCUGAAAUUUGAUAUUUGUAACUUUAAAUGUGAUGUUUGUGAACUUUUAAAAAGUCAUCGAACUACUUUUCCAUUGUCCUUAAAUAAGAAUCAAGUUCCUUUUAUGGUAGUACAUUCUGAUGUAUGGGGGCCAUCGAAAGUUUCUACAAUUGGAGGUGCUCGUUGGUUUGUUACAUUUAUUGAUGAUUGUAGCAGAAUGACAUAGAUUUUUCUGAUGAAAUCGAAAGACGAAGUAAACUCUUUAUUUUAAAGAUUUCAUAAGAUGGUGACGACUCAAUUUCAGACACAAAUUCGAGUUCUACAUACUGAUAAUGGAGGCGAGUAUAUGAGCACAACAAUUCAACAGUUUCUGAAAUCACAAGGAACUGUCCAUCAAACCACUUGUGUGGGGACACCCCAACAAAAUGGCAUUGUUGAACGAAAAAACAGACAUUUACUAGAAGUUGUUCGAGCAUCACUAAUCCAGGCCCACAUGCCACUAUCUUAUUAGGGAGAAGCACUGGCAUCCGCAGCAUACUUGAUCAAUCGAACACCUUCAAGCUCCCUUGGAUUCCAGACUCUUUUCCAGGUUCUAAAUGAUGCAAUUAUGUCACCAAAUGUGCCGAAUUUACCCCCACAUGUGUUUGGCUGUGUUGCCUUCGUUCAUUUGCCGCAACAAGACAAAUUAUCUCCUCGAGCACUACGUUGUGUGUUUGUAGGGUAUGCCUUACAGCAAAAGGGAUACCGAUGAUAUGAUCCACCAUCAAGAAAAAUAUACAUCACCAUGGAUGUCGUCUUUCAUGAAGAUAUCAUAUACUACUUGUCAAAGCCUGAAUUUCAGGGGGAGUAUAAUGAAGAGGAAAUUCAUAAUCUUAUAUAUCUUCCACCUAAAGAAGAUCAAUCUUCCAUUGAGGUUGUAAACCUUCAAGAUACUGGAAAAGAAAAUGGUGGUGAUUCUCAGGCUGAGAUAAGUGAAGACACAUUUGGGGAGCAAAAUAACUUAGACACAACUGCAAUCGAGAAUGAGUCACAUGAAGAAAUACCUAACUAAUCGUCUGCAGAGGAUGUUCCUACCACAAGUCCUAGUCUAGUCAGAAGAAUUCUUCCUCAGCGUCAAAAUAGAGGUAUCCCUAAACCCACAUAUGAGCCCGACCUUUCUAGUAGAGUCAAAUACCCUAUGAUUUAUUUUGUGUCUAACCAUCGCUUGUCAGAAUCAAAUCAGUCAUUUGUGAAUCAAUUAUCUACUGUAUCUAUUCCUAAUAGUGUGCAGGAAGCCUUAAAAGACCCAAAGUGGAAAGCGACUAUGAAUGACGAAAUGUGAUCUCUUCAAAAAAAUCAAACAUGGGAACUAGUUGAUCUUCCACCUGGAAAGAAACCAGUGGGUUUCCGAUGGAUCUACACUAUAAAGUACAAAGCAGAUGGCUCUAUUGAACGAUACAAAGCAAGGCUCGUAGCUAAGGGUUACACCCAAACCUACGGGAUAGAUUAUGCCAAUAUGUUUGCACCGGUAGCAAAAAUUAAUACUAUUCGUAUCUUAUUAUCAUUAGCAGUCAACUUGGAUUGGCCAGUGUAACAGUUCGAUGUAAAGAAUGCUUUCCUCCAUGGAGACCUGUCUGAAAAAAUUUAUAUGGAUAUGCCACCAGGAUGUAGUGGACCAGAACGACUCAAUCAGAAAGUAUGCAAAUUGAAGAAAUCAUUGUAUGGGUUGAAGCAACCCCUAAGAGCAUGGUUCGGGAAAUUCACAAAGGCUAUGGUUCUUUUUGGGUAUAACCAAAGCAAUUCAGAUCAUACCUUGUUCAUUAAAAAAUGACAAGGUAAAAUCACUGCCCUCAUUUUCUAUGUGGAUGAUAUGGUAGUCAUAGGUAACGACGGGGAAGCAAGAGAGGCUCUUCAGAAGUACUUGUCGAGAGAGUUUGAGAUGAAGGAUUUAUGAGCCUUAAAAUACUUUCUUGGAAUUGAGGUUUCUCGAUCUAAGGGAGGAAUUUUCCUGUCUCAAAGGAAAUAUGCUUUAGAUCUAUUAAACGAAACGUGAAUGACAGCUUGUCAGCCUAUUGACACCCCAAUAGAAGAAGGACUGAAGUUUUGUAUUACCUCAGACUAAGUUCCAGUAGACAAAGGAAGAUAUCAAAGGCUGAUUGGAAGAUUGAUGUACUUGUCCCACACAAGGCCAGCUCUUGCUUAUGCAUUGAGUGUUGUAAGUCAGCUUAUUCAUAAUCCCGGAGAACAACACAUGAAAGCAGUAAUGCGGAUCCUAAGGUACCUGAAGUCAAAUCCAGGAAAAGGAAUCCUAUGUUCCAAAAAUGGAGAUUACAGCAACAUAGAAGUUUAUACUGAUGCAGAUUGGGCCCGGUCAGUUAGUGAUAGACGCUCUACCUCAGGAUACUUUACCUUAGUGGGAGGCAACCUUGUCACAUGCUGCUUCACUUGCUGCCAAUCCAGUUCAUCAUUCAAGAACAAAACAUAUAGAGAUUGAUGUUCACUUUGUGAGAGAUAUAAUUUCCAACGGCGGAGUGGAAGUAAGAUAUGUCCCUACUGAAUAUCAGCCUGCAAACAUCUUCACAAAAGCUCUUCCUGCUGAUAUGUUUCAACAGUUGCGAGACAAGCUACAUAUUCUUCCUAGAACAUUGCGCUUGAGGGGGCAUUAUGAAAAUAUUGUAGCAGAGCUACCAAACUUGAGUAAUACGAAUUCAAAGUUGUUAGAUGACAUGGCAGCACACUUGGCAUUCAUUGGUGUUUUGGAAAGUUAAAGUGAUCAACCUUAUCUCUUAGCUUAUCAUUAAUUCAAGCUGCACUUUUGUAUUUAUCAAGAUCAAGAUAAAGAUAACAAUUGUGCUAGGCUUGAUCUUAUUCUUGGCAUUAUCGUGUUUCCUGUAGAGCAUUAUAAAUGUAAUGAUUAUGAGAUGAAUAAAAUAACGAAAAUGUGUUUUGUUUCUUCUUUAAGCUCAUCUUUAUAAUUUAAGUUGGUAUCAGAGCAUGGCGAGCUCCAAUUCUGCGAAAUUAGUCAAUAUGAAUACUGUAAACCAAACACCACAAAUUUCUAAUUUUUUGACUCCUGUCAAAUUGGAUAGGCAAAAUUUUAUGAUAUGGAAGUCUCAAGUGCUACCUUCCAUUCGUGGUAACAAUCUUGAAAGCUUGAUCAAUGGAGCAAAACUUGUACCCACUAAAUUCUUGGUGCAAGUAGAAGAGGAUCAAACAGUAACGACUGUGGAAAAUCCAGAAUAUAUACAAUGGCUGAGACAAGAUCAGCUUUUACUUAGUUGGCUUUUGUCCACUAUGACUGAAUCAGUUUUAAGCAUAGUGGUGCAGUAUACAACCUCUUUUGAGGUUUGGAAUGCCUUGAAGACAUUGUUUGCAUCUCAGUCAAAGGCUAGAAUUUUGUAGCUCAAGAUGCAACUCCAAACCACGAAAAAGAAUGCUAUGACCAUGAGUGACUAUGUCAACAAAAUGAAAAAUUUAGCUAAUAGCCUGGCAAUGGCUGGAAAAUAUGUUACUGAAGAUGAUUUAAUUUCUUAUAUUCUUGCAGGUUUAGGAACUAAAUACGACCCUGUGGUUGUAAAUAUUACAGCAAGAACAAAUGAUUUAUCUCUGCCUGAAGUAUCCUCUCUUUUGCUCAAUCAUGAAAGUCGAAUGGAACAACUCUCAGCUGCUGCAAAUCUUGAGUCUAAAGGCAGUUUUAAUGCAAAUUUUGCAGGAGCUUCUUUUCACAAAAGGAAAGUUAUAAGAAAAGGCUUUAUGUCAGGAAGUUUAUGAGGCAAUGAACGUGGUAGAGGCAAAGGAAGAACCAAUUUUAGCCGUGGUGGAAAUAGGCCAACCUGUCAGAUAUGUGGCAAAUAUGGACAUUCAGGAUAUCAAUGUUUCUUCCGCUUUGAUCGGGGGUUCUCUGCAAGACAAGAGGCAACACAAGCAGGUCAAGCCUCUGCCUAUAUGGCACUCCCUGCUGAAGAAAUAGAUAAUGGAUGGUAUUUGGACAGCGGAGCAACACACCAUGUUACAAAUGAUUUAAACAAUCUGCAGAUUAAGUUAGAAUUUAAGGGAGGUGAGAAGCUGGUAGUAGGUAAUGGUAAAACUUUAGCAAUAUCUCACAUUGGCAGUGCACUUAUUUAUAUUCCAAACCAUGAACCAUUGUUGCUUAAUGACAUUUUAUAUGUGCCCAAAAUCACCAAGAACUUAAUUAGCAUUUCAAAAUUACUUUCUGAUAAUAAACUAAUGCUUGAUUUCUGUGACAAUGUUUGUACUCUUAAGGACAAAGUUCUGGGGAAGAAGCUGCUGCAGCGAAAAAUUGAAAGAGGCUUAUAUCGGCUACCAGUGCUUUCAAGACAAGCCAUUCUAUCUGAUUCAAAAAUUAUUUCCAAUAAAUCUUAUUAGUCUUCUCUUCCAUUUAGCUGUUUCAAUUCUAGCUCAACAAUAAGUUCUGUAAAUGAACAAGAAUUUAUUUCCAAUUCCAAGCCUAGCAGUUUUAUAAAUCUUUUGCACAGAAGGAUGAGACAUCAUCAUCUUGCUGUACUAAAACAAAUUCUACCUUUGUGUAACAAAACAAGUCAGUUAAAUAAAAAUCUCAUUCCUCAAUUCUGUGAUGCAUGUCAACAAGGAAAAAGUCAUAGGCAAACUAUCAAAGCAUCAAAUAGUAGAGCUUCAGAACCUUUAGAAUUAUUGCAUCUUGACUUGUGGGGGCCUGCACCUUUAAUGUCUAGAAAUGGCUACAAAUAUUAUUUGAGUAUUGUAGAUGACAACACACGUUUUACAUGGAUAUUUCCACUUAAAGUUAAAUUACAAGCGUUUGAAGCUUUUAAGUAUUUCAAAGUUCAAGCCGAAAAACAAUUAGGAAAGAAAAUCAAAAGUUUACAAACUGACGGUGGAGGAGAGUUUCAAGCAUUUACAAUUUUUUAAAAGAACAGGGUAUUAUUCACUGACUUUCUUGCCCACACACGCAUCAUCAAAAUGGUAGAGUGGAGCGAAAACACCAACAAAUUGUAGACACUGGUUUAACACUUUUGGCAUAGGCUGGCAUGCCACUCACUUUUUGGUGGGAUGCUUUUCAAACAUCUGUUUAUUUAAUUAAUAGAAUGCCUACUUCCAUCUUAGAAAACAAAUCACCAUUUCAAAUACUUUAUGAUGAAGAAUAGGAAUCAAUAUUAUACUAGGAUUAGUUUCCUUAUUAACUAAAGUUUAAGACUUUUAAAUUCCUUUCUAAUUUAGAAUUUUGUUUCCCUUUCAAUUUAGGAUUUUGUUUUACUUCAUGAAUUAGGAUAAUUAUUACUACUAUAAAUAGCUCCCUCUUGUAGCCUUUAAAGGCAGAGAAUUUUGAGUUUAAUAAUAUUUCAAUUUUCAAAUCUCUUUGUGAGUAUUUGAACAGUUAAUUCUCGGUAUUCUGCGAAAUCAACGAGUCUUAAAUCCCUAAGUUCGCGGUAUUCUUUUGAAUCAACAUGAAUUUAGUUGUUCUUUUAUUCUGGUAUUCUCUAGAAUCAACGGAAUAUUUUGAAUAUUAAACUUCCACUGCAUCACUUUACAAGAAAAUACCUGAUUAUUCUUUUCUAAAAGUUUUUGGAUGUGCUGUAUUUCCUCAUCUUCGAGAUUACAACAAACAUAAAUUAGAUUUUUGAUCAGAUAAAUGUAUAUUUUUAGGCUAUAGUACAGCUCAUAACGGGUAUAAGUGUCUCCACAAGUCAGGAAAAAUUUUUGUAAUGCGACAUGUUGUCUUUAAUGAAUAUGAUUUUCCUUUUAAAAGUGAUCCCUCCUUCAAAAUCUCAAAGAGUUAUCCAAAUCAUGAUUCUAGUACUCUCUUUCAGUCUCCUAUGUUUGCAGGUUUUGAAAGUCCUAGAGCCUAUAAGACUCUCUCGGUUAUUCAUGCAACAGACUCUCUACUAGAGUUGGUUCAUAACACAAUAGUUAUAGAUCAGGCAUCAAGUCAAGAUGAGGAAACCAAUUUUGAAUCCAACACCAAAAGCCCACCUGGAAAAGCCAACCUUGAAUCAAGCACUGAAAUCCAAGCAACUGAAAACACCACACAAUCUUUAUCUAUCCCCGCGUUUAUCAAUCAAGAAGCCGAUCACACAAUCUCUCAACCACCUAGUUCAACUCCUCAUUCUCAACAGCCAACACAUACACAAUCCACUCAUCCAAUGAUCACUCGUGCCAAGGCCGGCAUCUUUAAACCCAAACCUAGACUUUACCUAACAACCUCUCAUACCAAAAUAAGUGUACAUGCCAGUGUUAGUGAAGCUUUGGAAGAUCACAAUUGGCGUAAUGCUAUGACAGAAGAAAUGAAUGCUUUGGCUAGGAAUAACACACGGUGUUUAGUUCAACCUACUUCUGACAUGAAGAUUGUGGGAAAUAAAUGGGUUUUUCGGAUAAAACAAAAGGCUGAUGGUUAGAUAGAGCGAUAUAAGGCUCGGUUGGUUGCAAAAGGAUUUCAUCAGACCCCAGGAAUCGAUUUCAACGAGACUUUUAGUCCUGUUGUUAAAGUUGCAACAAUUCGAUUGGUGUUAAGUAUUGCUGUGAUGAAAAAUUAGGGUGUAAUACAACUGGAUGUGAACAACGCCUUUUUAAAUGGAGACUUAGUAGAAGAUGUUUACAUGAUGCAGCCUGAAGGCUUUAUCAACAAAGCACAACCAAAUCAUGUGUGUAAAUUGAGAAAAGCAUUGUAUGGGCUUAAGCAGGCUCCAAGAGCUUGGUUUGAAAAACUCAAGAGAGCAUUGAGUGACUGGGGUUUCACAAAUUCUAAAUUAGACACAUCACUAUUUAUUUUGCAGCAAGGAAGGGAUAUAAUAUUUGUCCUUAUUUAUGUGGACGAUAUUUUAAUAACAGGAAGUAAAGAAAGUUUGGUGCAAGAAGUUAUUGAACGACUUAAUUGUCAGUUUGCUUUAAAAGUGCUCGGACCAUUAAGCUAUUUCCUUGGUCUUGAAGCUCAUCGCACAGAGAAUGGCCUACAUCUUAGCCAACACAAAUAUAUUUGUGAUCUCUUGAAGCGCACAGAUAUGGAUGGCUGCAAGGAAACAUCUACUCCUAUGAGUGUAGUACCGAAACUUUCAGCUGAAGGUGGUAAGCAAUUUUCUGAUCCUACACUUUAUCGUAGCAUCGUUGGAGCCUUAUUAUACGUAACUAUUACUCGGCCUGAAAUUUCUUAUGCUGUUCAUCGUUUAAGUCAGUAUAUGCAAAAUCCUUUACAGCCGCAUUGGCUUGGGUGUAAAAGAAUCCUUAGAUAUUUACAAGGAACAGCUGAUUAUGGAAUUUAUUAUACUACCAAAGGAAGAAUGACGCUCACAGGCUAUACAGAUGCAGAUUGGGCAAACAAUAUUGAUGAUAGAAAAUCAACUGGAGGCUACUGUAUUUAUCUUGGCAAUAACUUAAUCUCAUGGAGUUCAAAGAAACAAAAUGCAGUAGCAAGGUCUUCAACUGAGUCAGAGUAUCAAGCACUUGCAAAUACCACAGCAGAAAUUUUAUGGCUUCAAUCUGUGCUUAAAGAGUUGCAGGUGCCACUAACUGAAAUUCCAAUUAUUUGGUGUGACAACACUGAAGCUGCUUCACUUGCUGCCAAUCCAGUUCAUCAUUCAAGAACAAAACAUAUAGAGAUUGAUGUUCACUUUGUGAGAGAUAUAAUUUCCAAAGGUGGAGUGGAAGUGAGAUAUGUCCCUACUGAAUAUCAGCCUGCAGACAUCUUCACAAAAGCUCUUCCUGGUGAUAGGUUUCAACAGUUGCGAGACAAGCUACAUAUUCUUCCCAGAACAUUGCGCUUGAGGGGGCAUCAUGAAAAUAUUGUAGUAGAGCUACCAAACUUGAGUAAUACGAAUUCAAAGUUGUUAGAUGACAUGGCAGUACACUUGGUAUUCAUUGGUGUUUUGGAAAGUUAAAGUGAUCAACCUUAUCUCUUAGCUUAUCAUUAAUUCAAGCUGCACUUUUGUAUUUAUCAAGAUCAAGAUAAAGAUUACAAUUGUGCUAGGCUUGAUCUUAUUCUUGGCAUUAUCGUGUUUCCUGUAGAGCACUAUAAAUGUAAUGAUUAUGAGAUGAAUAAAAUAACGAAAAGGUGUUUUGUUUCUUCUUUAAGCUCAUCUUUAUAAUUUAAGUAAAGGGACUUUUGCAUAGCCUCUGGUGUGUGUGUGAUUUCUCUUUCGUUUCCUCAUCAAAUUCUGUAAUUCUUGCUUCGAUAAAAAGCUUUUAAUCUCUUCUGUAGUGUGUGAUCAGUGCGUAAUCAUUUUGAGCAAUAACAGCUUGUGGGUUUUUCCUUCAAACAGUGUCGUUUUGGUCAGUUUGUUAGUUUCUGUGUUCGUCUGAUUCCAUUGCUCUUGUUCUCUGUUCUUGAUCUGUUCGUGGAAUUUUUCUUUGGUUAUUUGUUCUCAAAUUUCAACUGUAUAUAAAGUUUGAACUCUGAUUGCUUAUAAUGUAUUGAUUAAGAAUAAUCCUAAGAGUUCCCGAUUGAAAUUUUUAAUGACUAUUUUUAUUGUUUUGGAUAUACAAAUUGAAUUAAGAAAAAAUAUUGUCAAAUUCAGAGGAUAAGGGGAAAUAAUUAUGCUUCAAAAGGCCAGAGAUUAGAGAAUAAAGAAGCAUUCAUUACUCUAUCAAAAAAAAAAAAAAAAAAAAAGCAUUCAUUACUGAUAUACAAACUGCUUUUAUUUGGAUUUUGGAAGGGGUGAAGUUUUGAACUUCAGUUGUUCCUCUAAAAUCAAAAGCAGCAAUUAAGCGUUCUCAAUUAGAAAGAGCUAAGAAGACUUAUUGGUACCUUACUGAAGCUAACAUUAUGGCACAGUUGUUCAUAUAUAAUGGCUGCUCUGUUAUGCUAGCUUCUCUGUUUUUGCUUCUAUUUUUGCUUACAGUUUUGAACAUAAAUUCUUGCUCAAAUAACCCAUAAUUAAAUAACACUAAUAUGGCUCGUGAAAUCCCAUAAUAGCUAAUUACGCAACUUUCUCCUCCUCCUCAAUUCUGUCUUCCCCUGCUCGUACACUAAAUUCAAAAUUCAAUGCCCCGAAAAACAACACAAGAAAUCUUUGAGUUAAUUCGCGACCAGUUUAUAUAUAGUAGCAAUUGAAAAAGGAAAAAGAAUAAAAGAGUUCAUUAUUAUUCAGACCUUCACUUAUUAGGAAGUUUGUUCUGCUGUUGGGUGAGAUCAAGCUCUCAGCAUAUACUUCCACAUUAUACUUUCUAACAUUUUCUUGAAAGCCAUCAAUCAUAAAAUCUUCAUACUUUUUUCCAUCCUUUGGAUCAAUAAGUACAAAUUUCUCAUCUAAAACAGACAAAAUAAAAUCACUGUCCUUCAUGGAACAUAAUGGCUGCAAUGCCUGAACUGAAUUGGCUAAUGAAAUUUGAGUCCAGGAUUCUCUCAGCCCAUAUUCUUUCAUAAUCCAAAAUUCUUUUCUUUCUCGACAUGGAACAUAGUCUUCUUUUCUUUCUGGACAUAUGUCUCUGUACUUUUCUCUCUCUACUGAUCCACACUUUUUCAUACUUCUAACUAUCAUUUUGUUUUUUUUUUGUUAAGUUGUGAUUUAUUCAAUUAUUUUGUAUUUUUAAUGAAAAUUAUUUAAUAUUUAGUUAGUUUUGAUAUUGAUUAGUGAUUGAAAGUGUAUUUUAGAAGACUUCCGGUCUCUUGGAAAAAGGAAAAAUGGAGACGAAGAAGAAGUGUUCUUGAUUUUUUUGUAGGCAUUAAAGUUAAACGGUUUGAAAUGAUAUUUUGUUUUAAUUUCACUCAUUAAUCUCAUUCAGGAUAAAAUUAUAAAUGCAAAUAAAUGGGGUUUCAUGAGUUUUUUUUAAUAGUGUUAAAAGGUCUACUCACUAAAUAAAUAUGUUUAACCCAAACCAAUGCGAUUAGUAAGUUAUUGGGUUGGGUUGAUCAGGUUAAAAAUUAAAAUUAAAAAUUAAAUAAUUAAAAAAGGCAUAAAAACUAUCUGUUACUUGAAAAUAAAAAGAAUUUCUAAUAGUUAGUUCUAAUGUCCCAUAUCCAAAACAUCCAUAUUAAAUAAAUAUUAUAAGUUAGAAAUACAAUAUCCAAGAAAGAAUGAAUGAAAUACCAUAUUUUUGUUGAGAAUUAAGAGUGUGAUUUUAAUUUUGAUAUUGGAGUCUAAAGUGCCACGUUUAAAUAAUCUCUUUUAUAAAAUAAUAAAAAGAGAUUAAAAAUUAGGUUAGCCAUUUAGGCAUUCAGGGUUUAGCAAUUAAGGAUGAACAUAUUAUUGUUGUUGUUUUUUGUUGUUGUUGUUGUUGUUGUUGUUGUUAUUAUUAUUAUUUAUAUGUUUACUAAUCCAAUUUACGUAUAAGUACAAAAGUUUCAAAUAUUGUCUAUUAUUUUUUUAACAUGCCUAUUCCUUGUGGAUAAUUCUGUCUCAUCACUAAUGUUGUUUCUUGCUUACAAUUUGUAUAGCGUCUCAAAAUAGACAAUAGGGGGAUUUUGAAUUUUUUAAGUCUCAAUAUAGUCUCUUAUCUUGUGAGACAGAUUUUCUUUCAAUAAUUUGGAGGUAAACAUAACAUAACUUUUUGGACUAAAGCCUAGCUCUGCUAAUUAGUAAUUGGUGGUAUCCUUUUCAAGACCUGAGUCUUUAAAUUCGAGUUUUAUAUAGUGCGCAUGUGUAUUUAAUUAAUAUUUUUUUAAAAAAAUUACAUCAAAUACUAAUAUUCAUGACAUAAUUUAGUUCAUAAUGUUUUUUUAAAUACAUCGAAAAUAUAAUUUUUUAACAACUUAUAGGCAUGACAAAUUUCAAGAUAUAAAUAUCAGUCAAAAUAAGUGAAAGAAAUAAUGGUGCCAAUUCUAAUUUCUUAACUAAAUUAAUUACUGCAUGAGCCCCCAAUACGGCACGAGAGUUUGAUGGGCUAACUUGGCACAAGAACAAUAGUUAAUUGAUUUAAGAAAUAAUUCAAUGAAAAAUAUAAUUGAUAAGAAUUUAGUAUUGAAAUGAGUUUUUUUCGAAACACUGAAUUAAUGAUUAUUAAGCAAGAACAAUAAAAAAAAUAAAAUAAAAAAUAAAGAUUAACCAUUGAUAAGCUUCAACAAGAACUUAACACAACCCUCAAUCCUAAUUCAAAUUAUAAAUGUCAUUCAUAUAUUCAUUAUAAAUCAAUAACAAAGGUUAUAAAUGUUUAGAAAUUCUAGAGGGAAGGAAGCUAUCGCCGGGCAAUCAACAACUAAAUUUGAUGUAAUUGUGGCACAAGAUGGAAUAUGAAAACUACACCAUAAUUUCAAAUGCCGCCAUAGACAUUGACUUAUCUACAGUAACAAUGAUCUAAUUAAAAUUAAAAUAAAGUUUAUGGGCAUUUAUUAUAUUUGCCAUUCCUCAUUUGCAAAUAGGGAUAUAAUUAUAAUUUUACUUAGUCAAAGCAAUCAGUAAUUUUUAGGGGUGUUCAAAAUUCAAUCCGAUCCGCUCAAUCCGUCUGAUCCGUAGAAAUCCGAUCCGUAAAAAUCUGAUCUGUGGAUUGGUAGAUUGGAUUGAAUUGAAAAUUUGAUAAUCCGCAAUCGGUGGAUUGGGUAUGGAUCUACUUCUGUAAAUUCGUAAAAAUCCGUGAAUCGGCAAAAAAUAAAAAGUAUUUAUUUAUUAAAAAAUAAAACUUGUAAAUAUGGCAAUAGUACUUACUAGUAAAUAAAUAAGUUAAAAUAUAGUUACAUUAACACUAUAUUAUAUCUUAUCCGAUAAUAAUAAAAAAUAAAAAAUAAUUAAAUAAACAAAUAUAACUUUCUAAAUAGUUAAUUUUCAUGUACUGAUCUAAACGAAUGAGAUUUUUUUUUUUUCAUUUUGGUGUGUUAUGUUUUGAACUUUAAAUGUAAUUUUUAGUUUUAUUUAAACAAGUAAUUUAUUUAAAUCUUAUUUAAUUUUAAAUUUGAUCGGCAAUAAAAUUAUUUAUAUUAAUUUUUUUUUAUUUAGUUAGUUCGUAGAUUGGACAGUAUUAAAAAUUUUCAGUCCGUAAACCAAUUCGCAAAAUGGUGGAUUGGAUAUGGAUUGGGUCAAAUCCGCAUCCAAUCCGCAGAUGUAUGAAUUGAAUUUCACCAAUCCAUGAAUUGGAUUGGAUUAAAAAUUUAUAAUCCGCAAAAUCGUGGAUCAGAUAUGGAUUGAGGUCCAAUCCGUAAAAUUUGAUCCGGAAACACCCCUAGUAAUUUUCUUCAUUAUAGGAGUGAAGUAAAAACAUUUAGAUUUUAAUGUAUGUACGGAAAAAUUUAUCUUUAAAAAUACUUUCUUAAUGUGUGUAUAUAUAUUGAAAUACUCAAACCAAUUUUGGUUAUUAUAUAAUUAAACAAAUUUUAAAAUAUGAAAAAUAUAAUGUAGUUAUAGUGGAUAAACAAUAAGUGAGCGCAAUAUAAUUAAUCAAAUAUCAUGCCAUCAAAAGUUAAUUUUAGAAAUUCCAAAUCCAACAGCCAACACAAUUCUUUUAAAAAAAAGCUGACACAAUUAAUAAAAUUAGUGACAUGAAUUUCACACCAUUGAUAAUAAGCAAUUAGUAUUACUUUCUAAACUUGCUUCAACUGGUCGUUGAUGUCCGGGGUCACCAAAAGUAUAAGCAAUAAUAAGGGGCAUUGGGCAAGAGUGAUGAAUGUUUAGUCGGUGCAUUUGAUUGCUAGAUAUAUAAAGGGCCGAAACUUGAGAUUAUAUUACUUUUACAAAUUUUAAUCCAAUCACAUAUUUAAUGAAAACAAAAUGAGUUAGGAUACUUUAUUUAGAACCCACAUUUUAAUAAGGCUUCAUUUGAUGUAGUUUUUUAAACAGUGAUUAUUUAAGUAAAUUUUCCUCAAUAGAGUUUUUAUCAAACAAAUUUAUUUAUUUAGUUGUCGAUAAGAGUUUUUAUUAAAAAUUAUAAAAUUAUUUAAAUAAACAUGUUUUUUAAAAUUACAUUAUAAAAAUAAUUAAAUAAAAUUAUAAAAGUAAAAUAUAUUUUAGAUAUUUUAAUAUUUAAGAAAAAUUUUCAAUCUCUACUUUCAAAAGCUCAAAUUUUUAGCUUUUAGUUGUAGAGACAAAAUAUUUUAUUUAAUCUUUAAAAGUUAUGCUAAAAACAAUCAAAUAACUACAAAAAUUUUAAUAAGAGUAUAUAAAAUUAAAUGGUAAUUUUUAAAAACCUCCCCUGAGGUUUGGGCUUGUUGCAAGUAGAUGGCGAGAAUCCAUUUAUUUGUAACAAACCCCCUACCGUCAGUUAAUUUUUGCAUUAACCGUUAGUUGACUGUGCAAAGACAAUAUUGUCCCUAAUGACAGUUUGUAGACUGACAUAGCUAAAAAAAAUGCUGAGAUUGUCGGCACGAAAAUCACAAAUAAUUUUUUUUUGACAAUUUUGUCCUUGUUAAUUCCAAGAUUUACAAUGUCAUAAGUAAGGAUUAUGACUAUUUUACCCUCUUAAAAUUAUUGAUAAUUCCUUAAAAUUUCUACAAAAAAGAUAAAAUUAAAAACUUGAAGAAAAAUAAAGUUCUCAAGCCGGCUAACCAAACACAUAGAAUAAAAAAUCCAUCGUUUGACAACAAAAACAACUUUCCAUAAACCCAAACAAAAAUAAACAAGUCCCCAUUACUCUAAUUGGCUUUGCUUGGAGCUGUUACUAUUGUGCAUACAUUUCUAGGCAAAGCAAAAUGACCCCAUGAUAUAAACCUUAUAAAACAUGCCUCCACUAUUCUUAAUUUUGGUAUAAUAAUAAUAAUAAUCACAAAAAAUUAAUUGAAAACUUGACUAAUUAUCUUUGGUGGAGAAUUUUAAACCGAAACCGAUUCAGGAACCUUAAAUUGAUCAAAAGGAAGCUAAUAAUGACAAAAAAGUAACCGAUCAAAAAUCAUUAAGCAUAAAAAAAUAUUGAAUUUAAAUAACUAAAAAUGCCAUCGGAAAUUGAAAUUAAUUAUUUAACAUAUAGCAUGAAAACAAAUCUUCACUAUUGGUGCUAGGCGGCUGUCGUUUAGCUUGGUUCUAAGAGGUGGCAGUCAGUCAACUUCGAGACGGUGCGUUCGAAGUCAACUAAGCUGCAGCAGAGGUUGCAGGGGGCAGAUUGCAGCGAAGUCGCGGUGGAGCAGAGGUCGCGUCGCGGUGGAGAAGAGGUCGCGUUGCGCUGGCUUGGCUUCACGGUGGUGGGAUGGCUGGGCGGGCUGGCCAGCUGUGUGCGCAUUGUAUAUGAUUGUUUUUCACUUUUUUAAUAUUUUCUUGUGCAUUAGUUCAGAUUAGAUUAGUGAGUUUGUGUGUGUGUUUGCAGUUGAUUUGGUUAAGAUAUUUAGGUUAAAAUAAUUUUUUUUAAUAAAUUUUUUUUUUCAAAAUGUCAACAAUGCCCACAACUACCCAAAUGGCAACUAAGCAGAGUAAAAACGUAGGGGUUUUUUUUUAUAAAUAAAUAGAUUCUCGUCAUCUAUUUGCAACAAACUCAAAUCUCGGGGGAGGUUUUUAAAAAUUACCCUAAAAUUAAAUAAGCAUUUAUUAAUAAUCACUUUGGUAUACUUAUCUAAUGACCAUAAGUGUUUAUUUAAUCUCAUAAGUUCUUAUUUAAUCUCAUGAGCUCUUUUCAAUUUUUUUUGUUGUUUGUUUUUUAGUAGAGUUUUUGAAAAUUAAAUAAACUAUUUUGUCUCUACUAGAAAAAACUCAAAUUUUAGAUUUUUGUGAGUAAAUGUUUAAUUUUUUAAAAAAAUAUUAAAAUAUCUAAGAUAUCUUUCCUUUAUUUCAUAAUCUUAUUUCAUUUUUUCAUAACAUAACUUUCAAUAACUUACCUAUUAAAAUAAUUUCACAAUUUCUAAUAAAAACUCUAAUUGACAAUUAACAAUUUUUUUUUGUUUGUAAAAACUCUAUUUAUAAAAAAUCUAAUAAAAAUUCUAUUUAAAUAAAUUAUAUUUGAAAAGGUGUACUAAACCAACCUAAGAUAAAAACAAAAAUUUUUACAUCCAGACAAUUAAGCUUAAAACAAUUUCAAAUGAAUUUUAGACUAAUCAAAGUACAAUACGUACCAAGUUUGGUAACUUAUUGACAUCUUCUCAUAUAACCUUCGAUCAAGUCGAUUCUCACCUGACGACUAAUUGGUACAUCACCGUUGUUCUCUAUACUCGCAUGCAUCCGAUCACAAAUCUCACUCCAAUUGUCGUCUUUCUUCGGCGUUUUAGCACAUCCUUCUUGAAUUUCCCGCAUUUCGUUCCCUCCUGUUACAAGUCUCCGGUCAGGUCAGUUCUCUUGACGAUUAAUUCGGCAAAUCUCGAAUCUCUUCUCGCGUCGUUUCACUUCAAUUUUUUGUGUCUCCUUUCAGUUUUAGUGAUUGAAUCAAUUUUAUUGCAGUCUGAGAGAAAUUAAGUAAUGCUCUUGGAUUUAAAUUUUUUUUGCUUUCGACUUUAGAUCUCGAAAGUCAAACUCUGCUACGAAUCCUUAGAUUCUCAAUGUUUAUAAUCUUAUUUGUGUUUGACCAGGUAACUGGAUCGUGAAAUUCGUCGUUUUGUAUCAAUUCAAGCUUUCGCGAGCUCAUGGAAUCACCUGGUGAGUUGUGGUGAAACGUUAUCGUUUCAAUUUUCGCUUAAUUCUUUAUUGCAUAUUUUUUCUCUAACAUUUCAGUUUAAUUUAGAAAAGAAAGAGGACCCAAAAAGAGAGAGAGAGAGAGAGACUCUACCAUACUCAAUUCCUUGCUCAUUCUGAUUUGGCCUGAAUGUUGGCAUUGACUAUUAUUUGUUUUCAUUUCGAUUUAAUUCUCAUUUAGACAGUCUUUACUAACGGUCAAUAAUAGUUUAAGGAAAAUGAUAAUAGGGAUUCUGCAAUAAUCUUUUUAAGGAAAAUGAUAAUAGGGAUUCUGCAAUAAUCUUUUUAAGGGAUGUAUAACUUAUUAAUCAGAGUCCUGUUAUUAUGGUUUGACACUACUGACAUAUUGUGUUGGUAUUUAUUUGUACUUCCCUUGGUUGAAUUAUUUGCUGUCCCCAUGCCAUUCGAUAUGGUGCUACUUGGUUUUUGAUCAUCCAUGACGCUAUAUAUAUGUAAAGGAUGAAUUGAUUGUUUUGGCUUGUAUUCUCACAUUUUAUGAUUGAUCGAUGGAAAGGUCUUCAUGUAUUAAAUUCAACCUCACAAGCGUAAGAUUGACAGAUUCUGGGCAAAUUUUCAGGAAAAGAAACUAGACUUCAUGGAAGCAAUGAAGCUUGAAAUUGAACGUCUGCAGCUGAAAGGGAUAGAGCUUUAUUGUCAAUUGGAACUGAUCCUGCCUCUAUAAAUCCAAAUGUAUUGCUUGAUGAAUCUUACAUGGGAAGACUGUCGAGUAGCAACCACUCUUGCAUUACUUGGCCAAACUUCCCUAGAAGACAAAAUUGUUGGUGCAAUGGCCUUGAGAAUAGUGAUGAUAGUGUUUUAGACUUCUGGAAUAUUACUAGAAUCGGAGAGAGUUGUUCUGGUGGCGCGUGCAAGGUUCGUGCAGAAACUAAGGUGCCUGCUCUUGCUUCCUCAACUGCAGCAUCUGUUGGAGCUUCACAAUCCCCUUUGUUGUGUUCUCUGUUGUGUUCUCUGUUGUGUUCUCAAUGUGAAAGAAAAGUUUGCAAAGUUUGUUGUGCAGGAAGAGGAGCUCUACUGUUUUCAAAUUAUAAAUCAAGGGAUGUGACCAACUACAAUGGCUUCUCAAGUCAGAGUGGAUCAAGCCAUGGAAGCCAAGUUGAUGUAUCUACCAGUCGUUCACUAACACUGGAUGGCGUUAUCUGUAAACACUGCUGCCAUGAGAUUGUGCUUGAUACAAGUUCACAACACCAUUACAAAGGAUUCAAAAUUCCCACACGAAAACAUCAAUGUACAGAUUAUAAACAAUCCGAAUUGGACACAAGAAAAACCCUUCAAUGGAUUGCUUGCCUUCCCAAUGCUAUAUACUGUGCAAACUGCGCACUGUCCAAGAAAAUGUUUUCAAUUUAGUGUAUUUUCAAAAUGCUUAUUUUCUCAGAAUAUAUAAAAAAAAAAAAAGAAUUCUUACAUGUUUCAUCAGCAUGAUUAAAAUCAAAGAAGAAAGCGAGACAUAAUGUCUCUGACAUAAUAAAAUUACAAAAAUUUAAAAAAAAAAAAGUUAAAACAUGUAAUCUUCAUAAGCAUAUAAUAAAAUAACACUUCCACAAAUUACUACAAUUUCAUGCAGUAGAGAUUGAAGAGUUGAAUUCCACUUAUAGACACCGACCUCUUAUUUUGUCUAAUGUUAACAAUGAAAAUAACAACAGUAAUGAAAACAACAACAGAAUACAACAACAGAAAACAACAAUCCGCUCUGCAAAUUCUCUUGGGACUUGGUUCCAAUUCCUCUUCAUCCGAAGUUCCACUCGAAUCAAAUUCACUUGCAGCAGUUCCACUCGCGCUUGGCAAAUCAUCCAAUUUCCAAACUUCGGUAGCAAAAUUGAGAGUAAAAGUGUUGGCUUUGGUCUCGCUGGGAUUUGCAUAUACUGGACAUACUCCGUAACGUUUUACCUUGUGACCCUUUUGGUUUUGGUAACAAUUAUUGAAGAACUUAAGUGAGACAGUUGUAUGAUGGUAACCAUCAGGAAAGCCAACAUUCAAGCAAGGUUUAAAACCAAGUAUGACAUGAUCUGAAUCAAGGGAGUAUUUAUUUCUAACACUUGUGGUUGCGGGCCCACUGAAACCUAGAUCAACAUGUUUGGUUUCAGAGAGAGUCUUUAUUUCUAAGUCGAGUUGAGAGCGGCCGAAAACAUUGCAGCAAUAACAAGAACCAACUUUCUUAAAAUUAAGAACCGCACAAAAAGCAAACCCGAUUAAGUUUCUGCAAGAAGAGUGCGGUGGCAGUUGAAUACCUAUCGAAGAUCCUGAACUUUGAUUGUUGAACCAGUCAGGAAUUUCGCUCCCAGGUAAAACAAUUAGGGAUGUCCUGAGUUCAGAAAGUUUCUGUGAAAUGACAUUUAAAAAAAGAAAAUUGUAAAAUGAAAACCAUGAUUUCAGAUAUAACAAAGAGGGACAGAGUAAACAAGAGAGGGAACUUGAUGCGUUCUAAAUGUUCCAUUUUCUCCAAGAUUUCUGGGAAACGCUCAAGGUUCAAGCAGCCAUGAAGAAAAAGCUCAACCAAAGAUUUCAAUUUACAAAACCUAGUUGAAAUCCUCUUCAGCCGUUCGCAAUCCCUCAAAUCCAACUUUUCAAGAUCAGUUAGGCACUCUAUUGAUGAUGGAACUUCUUCUAUUGCAGACUGGCUUAAGUAUAGCCGUGUAAUUUUCCCAGAAAUCUGUGGAAACUCUACGAGAUUAACACAAUAGGAGAAAUUAAUAGUUACUGGACAAACAAAAUGAAGAUUGCUUGGAAAAGACCUAAGACUUUUGCAGCCCACAAAAUCCAACCUACUGAGAUACUUGAAAUUCUGGAUAGAUGAGGGAACACAAGCCAUUUCUCCUUCCCAAAUUUGCUCAACUUUACUAAAACGCAAAUUCAGUCCAACAAGGUUCUUUGGCUUGAAAUUUGAUGGCAGUGUCCUUAAUGGAUAUGUGUCCCAAUGAAGAUAUCUCAAUUUUUUAGGAAGAUAAUCUAGGCCAUUUGGAAGCUGCACUUUAGAGUACGAAAGUUGCUCUUCAAUGCUCAUACUUAGAAGCUUUUCAAUCUCAUACUUAGGUACAUAAAAUUUGAGCAAUCUCAGAUUAGACAUAUUUGUGAAGGCUCCGGGGUCUAAAUUGAUGCCUUUUAUUUUGGACAAAUCCAAAAAUAUGCCUUCAAUUGCAUCGGUCCC
rnacentral:lncRNA from 1 species